UAUCAGUUUAGACGUUCUUUGAAAGUGCGACUAUUGUUUUCAAAAUUCGUGAGCUCUUAAAACCUAGGUUUAUUACUACAUAAUACAGAUUCACACGUUGAUUAUUUGCAUCACAACAGCCAUUCACACAUUUAUGAUUUUGAAAGGCAGAUGUUUUAUAACUAACAUAAUGUUGGCAGUUUUGCGUUUAUGGCCUCGAAUGGCCAGUUUAGCGAUGUUUUAUCAUAGGAUUUACAACGUUGUGUCGCAAACCACAGAAACGAAUUGCAACCACUGCAAAAACGAUUCGAAAUUUGCGACCUGCUAAUUUUGGUUUGCCUAUAACCUGAAUCAUAAAAACUUAAGGGCCUAUGCUCUUACUAUAUCUUUUGUUUAAUUAACAGCACUCUUAUGUGAAGCAACACCAUAAUAAAUUCAACUACCGACGAUAAAAUUUCGAAGUGGGUCAUAUAUUACAACUCUACUGAAGAAAGAUGGCAAGUGCACGACGUUGCGUACCAUAAAAGUUAAAUUUAGGCGUCAUGACAACUGUUUUUCCGAACUACCAUUGUUUAUACGAAUGAAUUACCGUCAAUAGGGAAUGUAAAAAUUAGAACAUCGGUAAUUCAAAUUG